rnacentral:misc_RNA from 1 species
AAAGUCGUAACAAGGUUUCCGUAGGUGAACCUGCGGAAGGAUCAUUAACAAUAUGAGAUGGCCACGGUGGGGCAUUGCCCUGCCGCUGCGCACUCCCAUUACACCCUGGCCUACCCCCCUAAGGGUAGGUUUCAUGUGUCCACCCUCUGUGAAACUCCUCCAUAUGCUUCGGCAGCACCUCUCCCGGGGGGGUAAGGCUGCCAGAAGCUCAUAUCAAAAAUCAGUUGAUGAAAAUAUAAUGUCUGACUACUAUUUUGAGAAAUCAAAUCAUAUUAAAACUUUCAGCAACGGAUCUCUUGGUUCUC